ensembl:miRNA
GUGUUCCUUCCAGUCCGCCCUCUGUCACCUUGCAGACGGCUUUCUCUCCGAAUGUCUGCAAGUGUCAGAGGCGAGGAGCAGCAGCUGCAU